GGCAAGAUAGUCCAGGAAAUGCUACAAGAGGAUGGGCGUUGUUUGGUGUGCUUUCCUGCAUAUUCAUAAUAACGUCAACAGUAUUCUGUUGUGGAGCGUUCAUUUAUAGAACACGUGUUGAACACCUGCGUGGGUUGGAAGCUUUACCAGGCAUGACAAUUCUAUCAGCCUGUUUAGAAGCUGUUAGCGGAGGAGGAGGAGGGUUAACAGGAGGUUACACAAGAGCAGAAGACCCUACCUACACGUUUGCCAAUCAAGUUUCUUGGGAACGGCAGCCUGUUUCUGGUCAAGGAACUCGAAGAACCACAGAAGUGAAAUAUGGUUCGAUCUGAUCAACAAGUUUGACAUGUAACUUAUGGAGGUCGGCAUCUUCCUCUUUUAUAUUUUUCGCUAGUUUUAGGGUGCGCGUCAACAAUUUUGGGCUCGU